rnacentral:rRNA from 1 species
UGCGUAGGCGGAUUAAUAAGUCAGUGGUGAAAACCUGCAGCUUAACUGCAGACCUGCCAUUGAUGCUGUUAGUCUUGAGUACGGUCAAGGUAGGCGGAAUGUGUAAUGUAGCGGUGAAAUGCUUAGAUAUUACACAGAACACCGAUUGCGAAGGCAGCUUACUGGGCCAUUACUGACGCUGAGGCACGAAAGCGUGGGGAGCGAACAGGAUUAGAUACCCUGGUAGUCC